AAUUGCACUUGUUAUAUUCUUGA
rnacentral:miRNA from 1 species